GUUGAACGCUGGCGGCAGGCUUAACACAUGCAAGUCGAGCGAGCGGCGGACUGGUGAAUGGUUUCUUGGAAACUGCCUAAUGGAGGGGUCUGACUACUGUAACCGGUGGCUACUACCGCAUACCAUCAUAUGUGCCCAGAUUGACGUAGCUAGUAGGUGGGGUAAUGGCUCACCUAGGCGACGCUCCCGAGCUGGGCUGAGAGGAUGACCAGCCACACUGGAACUGAGACACGGUCCAGACUCCUACGGGAGGCAGCAGUGGGGAAUCUUGGACAAUGGGCGAAAGCCUGAUGAAGCAAGGCCGCGUGGGUGAAGAAGGUCUUCGGGUUGUAAAGCACUUUCAGCGAGGAGGCGGUAUUCGAAGAAGAAGCACCGGCUAACUCCGUGCCAGCCGCCGCGGUAAUAC
rnacentral:rRNA from 1 species